UACGUAGGGUGCAGGCGUUAAUCGGAAUUACUGGGCGUAAAGCGUGCGCAGGCGGUUUGCUAAGACAGGUGUGAAGUCCCCGGGCUUAACCUGGGAACUGCGCUUGUAACUGGCAAGCUAGAGUGUGGCAGAGGGGGGUGGAAUUCCGACGUGUAGCAGUGAAAUGCGUAGAGAUGUGGAGGAACACCGAUGGCGAAGGCAGCCCCCUGGGCGUAACACC
rnacentral:rRNA from 1 species